rnacentral:rRNA from 1 species
AUUGAACGCUGGCGGCAGGCCUAACACAUGCAAGUCGAACGAGUGGCGGACGGGUGAGUAAUGUCUGGGAAACUGCCUGAUGGCGGGGGAUAACUACUGGAAACGGUAGCUAAUACCGCAUACCAUCAUAUGUUCCCAGAUGGGAUUAGCUUGUUGGUGUGGUAACGGCUCACCAAGGCGACGAUCCCUAGCUGGUCUGAGAGGAUGACCAGCCACACUGGAACUGAGACACGGUCCGAACUCAUACGGGAGGCAGCAGUGGGGAAUAUUGCACAAGGGGCGCAAGCCGGAUGCAGCCAUGCCGCGUGUAGGAAGAAGGCCUUCGGGUGGUAAAGUACUUUCAGCAGGGAGGCGUUACCCGCAGAAGAAGCACCGGCUAACUCCGUGCCAGCAGCCGCGGUAAUUC